GCCGGGCGUGGUGGCUCACGCCUGUAAUCCCAGCACUUUGGGAGGCUGAGGCGGGUGGAUCACCUGAGGUCAGGAGUUCAAGACCAGCCUGACCAACGUGGAGAAACCCUGUCUCUA
ensembl:misc_RNA Metazoa_SRP Metazoan signal recognition particle RNA